rnacentral:rRNA from 1 species
AUUGAACGCUGGCGGCAUGCCUUACACAUGCAAGUCGAACGGUAACAGGUCUUCGGAUGCUGACGAGUGGCGAACGGGUGAGUAAUACAUCGGAACGUGCCUAGUAGUGGGGGAUAACUACUCGAAAGAGUGGCUAAUACCGCAUGAGAUCUACGGAUGAAAGCAGGGGAUCGCAAGGCCUUGUGCUACUAGAGCGGCCGAUGGCAGAUUAGGUAGUUGGUGGGAUAAAAGCUUACCAAGCCGACGAUCUGUAGCUGGUCUGAGAGGACGAUCAGCCACACUGGGACGGACACACGGCCCAGACUCCUACGGGAGGCAGCAGUGGGGGAUUUUGGACAAUGGGCGCAAGCCUGAUUCAGCAAUGCCGCGUGCAGGAUGAAGGCCUUCGAGUUGUAAACUGCUUUUGUACGGAACGAAAAGCCCUGGGUUAAUACCCUGGGGUCAUGACGGUACCGUAAGAAUAAGCACCGGCUAACUACGUGCCAGCCGCCGCAGUAAUAC